rnacentral:rRNA from 1 species
AUGGAAAGCGGCGGACGGGUGAGUAACGCGUAGGCAACCUGCCUCUCACAGAGGGAUAGCCAUCGGAAACGGUGAUUAAUACCACAUAAAGUUGAGACAACACAUGUUGACCCAACCAAAGAUUUAUCGGUGAGAGAUGGGCCUGCGUCUGAUUAACUAGUUGGUGGGGUAACGGCUCACCAAGGUGACGAUCAGUAGCCGACCUGAGAGGGUGAACGGCCACAUUGGAACUGAGACACGGUCCAAACUUC